UGGGGAAUAUUGCACAAUGGGGGAAACCCUGAUGCAGCAACGCCGCGUGAGUGAUGACGGCCUUCGGGUUGUAAAGCUCUGUCUUCAGGGACGAUAAUGACGGUACCUGAGGAGGAAGCCACGGCUAACUCCGUGCCAGCAGCCGCGGUAAUACGUAGGUGGCAAGCGUUGUCCGGAUUUACUGGGCGUAAAGGGAGCGUAGGCGGACUUUUAAGUGAGAUGUGAAAUACCCGGGCUCAACCUGGGUGCUGCACUUCAAACUGGAAGUCUAGAGUGCAGGAGAGGGGAGUGGAAUUCCUAGUGUAGCGGUGAAAUGCGUAGAGAUUAGGAAGAACACCAGUGGCGAAGGCGACUCUCUGGACUGUAACUGACGCUGAGGCUCGAAAGCGUGGGGAGCAAACA
rnacentral:rRNA from 1 species